UCAGAUAUUAUAAACUUCCAUUAAUUCCAUUAUAUAAAAUUCAAAACGUUUAUUUCAAGUAAACUAAUAUAUUAAAAAAUGUGUGCAUAUAAAUACUGCUAUAAUUUUUUUGUAUAAAUGUAUGUAUUUGUAUGUGAAGAUAUUUGUAUAAGAAGUAACUUCUAUUUUGUGUGAGAUCUUCAAUAAUGUCUGUCAGAACUGAGCUUAACGGUCAGUUCAAAGAAGACGAUAUAUUUUUUUCAUCUAUUUCUUCGUGUGUCAUUUUAUUUUUUCAGUCCUACGUUUUUCAACUUAGUAAAAUGUUCAAACAGGUUGGUUAUAAAAACAGCAAAACAGGUGAGGUGGAUUGUACAAUGCGUCAAUUUCCUUUGCCUAGCUAACAUUGUGCAAGGAUGUUUAGUACCUUUCUUUAUUUGUUGAAAACUUCUGCAAAGAAAAAGAUUUUGAUUGCUUGUGGAAAGAUUUAAAUCAGUGAUUAUGAUCUAUAUUUGUACUAGUUUCACAUGAUACCAUUAGUGGAAGAUUUGCUAUUUCAGUACCAUUUUUACGCACAUUAACACAAAUAAAACACUCACAUUUCCCACCUAGUACAAUUUUAGUAUUAAGAUCUAAAAGUAAUAAGAAGUAAUUUUUUUAGUGUAAAUACAAUAUUGUUUAUAAGCACAACAAUAAUAAUGCAAAA